ensembl:lncRNA
GUCGUCAGGCAGGACAGACGUCCUGGGAGUUCUCAGCUCAGCAGGAGUUAUUUUCACGUAGAAGACAUGCUGCAUUCCCUUACUCCAGCCCGGGCAAAUUCACACAUGUUGGGUUGCAUGGUGCAAGCUUUUGUAAAAGACAUUUCAAGGUAAGUAACAUUUGAUUUACAAAUAACAGUUCUACCAAAGCAAAGCAUUUGUGCUAGUCACCUGUACACUCAAAAAAAUGAAUGAGGUGGAUUGUUCAGUGUAUAUUAAUUAUUUAUUUUCAUUUUACUUAAAAUAUAUGUUUUUGUUAAGUUAACAUAUGUUUUUCUAAUCAAGUCUACGUAAUUGUGUCUAUUAUUCAACGUACAUAAUACUAAUGUGUUACUUGAUCGCAUAACAUUUAAGUUAAGUCAAUUAGGAUCGAUAUACCUUGUAUAUCCACAAGGUGGCAGUAAUGCAAAAACAGUUGUAAUGAAACCGCGCAGAACAAGAAGGUUUCACGGCUUGUGCCUGCUCAUGCGCAAGACUUCAAAUUUAACUGAAAAAGGCUGUUUUGGCGCCAAGCUACUGUUUCUUUGAGAGAUCCUGCCUUUACCUGCUCCCUCCUAUACUGAUGUGGUGUAUGUGGUAUUGCUGAGCUUGUAUGUGGUGGAAGCAGAAUAUGUGAGGAUUACUACUGCUGCACAUGUUCCAAGGCUUUUUACACAACUUGACCAAUACACUGACCAGCUCAUAAAAGUCUUCAAGAAAAAAGGAGGCGUUGCAGGGAAGAAAAUUAGACAAACUUUGGCCCCAGCCACACAGAAGGAAAGUAUUGAAAAGGGGAGGGAGUGUGUCCUCAGGGCACUACCUUUUUACCUGAAUGAAGACCCAAGCAUCCUCUUCAAAGAAUAAUUGCUACAGCUGUUCAGAGGGAGCUGGAACAAAUUACCCUUGCUAUCUUUACCAUCGAAAGAGCUGAUGCCAGCACUCCUCCAGCCGAUGUGGGUAUAACCAUCUAGUGUGUCCUGGAAGACCUGGCCUCUGCAUGUGCACUCUUAAUGGGUGGGAUAUAUGCACUGAAUCUCAGUUAACCUCAAGACUGAAAGCUUUCUUUGAAGUACUUCAGAAGCUCUUCCUUCAUCUGUAUGUCAGCAUACUCUUGACCAAGGUACAGUUGCUCAAGAAUACACUGAAUGAAUAAGCCAACCUUUAAUUUGGAUGAUGAAUGUUCUGUCAGAUGGACAGAAGUUUUUCGGAGGCUGAAUGGGAAUAAAAUGGUAAUUUGUAAAUGACAGAUAACGGGAAAAUUACAUUUAAGAGAAAUUUAGAACAUUUUGAAAAGUUUGUAAACUACUACAAUUUGAGAGAUUUUACUGUUGUGGGG